GCCUGGGUGGCUCAGCGGUUGAGCAUCUGCCUUUGGCUCAGGGCAUGAUUCCGGGGUCUAGGAUUGAGUCCUGGAUCAGGCU
rnacentral:tRNA from 1 species